rnacentral:rRNA from 1 species
AUUGAACGCUGGCGGCAGGCCUAACACAUGCAAGUCGAGCGAGCGGCGGACGGGUGAGUAAUGCCUGGGAAUUGCCCAGUCGAGGGGGAUAACAGUUGGAAACGACUGCUAAUACCGCAUACGAUUGGAUUGCCCAGGUGGGAUUAGCUAGGUGGGGAGGUAAUGGCUCACCAAGGCGACGAUCCCUAGCUGGUCUGAGAGGAUGAUCAGCCCAAAUGGAACUGAGAAACGGUCCAGAACCCUUAGGGGGGCCGGAGGUGGGAAUAUUUGAAAAUGGGGGAAACCCUGAUGCAGCCAUGCCGCGUGUGUGAAGAAGGCCUUCGGGUUGUAAAGCACUUUCAGCGAGGAGGCGUUACUCGCAGAAGAAGCACCGGCUAACUCCGUGCCAGCAGCCGCGGUAAUAC